GACGAACGCUGGCGGCGUGCUUAACACAUGCAAGUCGAACGGAAAGGCCCUGCUUUUGUGGGGUGCUCGAGUGGCGAACGGGUGAGUAACACGUGAGUAACCUGCCCUUGACUUUGGGAUAACUUCAGGAAACUGGGGCUAAUACCCGAUAGGAGCUCCUGCUGCAUGGUGGGGGUUGGAAAGUUUCGGCGGUUGGGGAUGGACUCGCGGCUUAUCAGCUUGUUGGUGGGGUAGUGGCUUACCAAGGCUUUGACGGGUAGCCGGCCUGAGAGGGUUACCGGCCACAUUGGGACUGAGAUACGGCCCAGAAUCCUACGGGAGGCAGCAGUGGGGAAUAUGGCAGAAUGGGCGGAAGCCUGAGGCAGCAACGCCGCGUGCGGGAUGACGGCCUUCGGGUUGUAAACCGCUUUCGCCUGUGACGAAGCGGGAGUGACGGUAAUGGGUAAAGAAGCACCGGCUAACUACGUG
rnacentral:rRNA from 1 species